GACGAACGCUGGCGGCGUGCUUAACACAUGCAAGUCGAACGGAAAGGCCCUGCUUUUGUGGGGUGCUCGAGUGGCGAACGGGUGAGUAACACGUGAGUAACCUGCCCUUGACUUUGGGAUAACUUCAGGAAACUGGGGCUAAUACCGGAUAGGAGCUCCUGCUGCAUGGUGGGGGUUGGAAAGUUUCGGCGGUUGGGGAUGGACUCGCGGCUUAUCAGCUUGUUGGUGGGGUAGUGGCUUACCAAGGCUUUGACGGGUAGCCGGCCUGAGAGGGUGACCGGCCACAUUGGGACUGAGAUACGGUCCAGACUCCUACGGGAGGCAGCAGUGGGGAAUAUUGCACAAUGGGCGGAAGCCUGAUGCAGCAACGCCGCGUGCGGGAUGGCGGCCUUCGGGUUGUAAACCGCUUUCGCCUGUGACGAAGCGUGAGUGACGGUAAUGGGUAAAGAAGCACCGGCUAACUACGUG
rnacentral:rRNA from 1 species